CUUGGUCAUUUAGAGGAAGUAAAAGUCGUAACAAGGUUUCCGUAGGUGAACCUGCGGAAGGGUCAUUCAUAAUAAGUGUUUUAUGGCACUUUUUAAAUCCAUAUCCACCUUGUGUGCAAUGUCAGUCGAUCUUCUUCAUGGAGAUCGACCAAACAUCAACCUUUAUUUUUUAACUCUUUGUCUGAAAAAUAUUAUGAAUAAACAAUUCAAAAUACAACUUUCAACAACGGAUCUCUUGGCUCUCGCAUCGAUGAAGAACGCAGCGAAAUGCGAUACGUAAUGUGAAUUGCAGAAUUCAGUGAAUCAUCGAAUCUUUGAACGCAUAUUGCGCUCUUUGGUAUUCCGAAGAGCAUGCUUGUUUGAGUAUCAGUAAACACCUCAAAGCUUUUGGAUUUUUUAAUCGAAAAGCUUUGGACUUGAGCAAUCCCAACACCAAUCUUUUUGAGAUCGGUGGCGGGUUGCUUGAAAUGCAGGUGCAGCUGGACUUUUCUCUGAGCUAUAAGCAUAUCUAUUUAGUCUGCCUAAAAAACAGAUUAUUACCUUUGCUGCAGCUAACAUAAAGGAGAUGAGUUCUUGUGCUGACUGAUGCAGGAUUCACAGAGACAGCUUCGCGGCUGACUUUGUAAACUCGAUCUCAAAUCAAGUAAGACUACCCGCUGAACUUAAGCAUAUCAAUAAGCGGAGGAAAAGAAACUAACAAGGAUUCCCCUAGUAACGGCGAGUGAAGCGGGAUGAGCUCAAAUUUAAAAUCUGGCUGGUUUACUAGUCCGAAUUGUAGUUUAAAGAAGCGUUUUCGGUGGCAGCCUGGGUAUAAAUCCUUUGGAACAGGGUAUCAUAGAGGGUGAGAAUCCCGUCUUUGACUCAGUGCAUGCUACUAUGUGAUACGUUUUCAAAGAGUCGAGUUGUUUGGGAAU
rnacentral:sRNA from 1 species